AGUGAACGCUGGCGGUAGGCCUAACACAUGCAAGUCGAACGGCAGCACAGGAGAGCUUGCUCUCUGGGUGGCGAGUGGCGGACGGGUGAGGAAUACAUCGGAAUCUACUCUGUCGUGGGGGAUAACGUAGGGAAACUUACGCUAAUGCCGCAUACGACCUACGGGUGAAAGCAGGGGACCUUCGGGCCUUGCGCGAUUGAAUGAGCCGAUGUCGGAUUAGCUAGUUGGCGGGGUAAAGGCCCACCAAGGCGACGAUCCGUAGCUGGUCUGAGGGGAUGAUCGGCCAAACUGGAACUGAGACACGGUCCAGACUCCUACGGGAGGCAGCAGUGGGGAAUAUUGGACAAUGGGCGCAAGCCUGAUCCAGCCAUACCGCGUGGGUGAAGAAGGCCUUCGGGUUGUAAAGCCCUUUUGUUGGGAAAGAAAUCCAGCUGGCUAAUACCCGGUUGGGAUGACGGUACCCAAAGAAUAAGCACCGGCUAACUUCGUGCCAGCCGCCGCAGUAA
rnacentral:rRNA from 1 species